UGGGGAAUCUUCCGCAAUGGACGAAAGUCUGACGGAGCAACGCCGCGUGAGUGAUGACGGCCUUCGGGUUGUAAAGCUCUGUUAAUCGGGACGAAUGGUUCUUGUGCAAAUAGUGCGAGGAUUUGACGGUACCGGAAUAGAAAGCCACGGCUAACUACGUGCCAGCAGCCGCGGUAAUACGUAGGUGGCAAGCGUUGUCCGGAAUUAUUGGGCGUAAAGCGCGCGCAGGCGGAUUGGUCAGUCUGUCUUAAAAGUUCGGGGCUUAACCCCGUGAUGGGAUGGAAACUGCCAAUCUAGAGUAUCGGAGAGGAAAGUGGAAUUCCUAGUGUAGCGGUGAAAUGCGUAGAUAUUAGGAAGAACGCCAGUGGCGAAGGCGACUUUCUGGACGAAAACUGACGCUGAGGCGCGAAAGCCAGGGGAGCGAACGGG
rnacentral:rRNA from 1 species